AUGUCGGACCUUGGUGAGUUACAUCAUUUUCUUGGCAUAAAUGUUACUCCCAACUCCUCCGGCUUGUUUCUUUGCCAGCAACAGUACACACUUGAGAUUCUUGACCGUGCUGACAUGCUCCAUUGCAAACCGGUGUCCACUCCCGUCGACACCUCUUCCAAACUGUCCAUUCAUGAUGGCAAACCUCUUUCCAACCCCACCUACUACCGCAGCUUGGCCGGUGCACUCCAAUACCUUACUCUCACUCGACCAGAUAUCUACUAUGCCAUCCAACAAGUUUGCCUCUUCAUGCAUGAGCCGCGUGACAUCCACAUGCAGUUGGUUAAACGCAUCCUUCGAUAUCUACAAGGCACAUCCCACUAUGGCAUUCAGCUCUACAAGUCACCAUCUCAUGAGCUCAUUGCUUACACAGACGCUGAUUGGGCCGGGUGUCCCGAUACUCGCAAGUCCACUUCUGGGUUCUGCGUUUUUCUUGGCAACAACAUCAUUUCUUGGUCCUCGAAGCGUCAACCCACUGUCUCUAGAUCCAGUGCCGAAGCUGAGUACCGGGGCGUCACUAACUGUGUCGCUGAAUCAUGCUGGCUACGCCAACUCUUGCAUGACCUCAAGAGUCCUCCGACCCGUGCCACCGUGGUUUAUUGUGACAACGUCAGCGCCACAUAUCUCGCCUCCAACCCCGUCCAACAUCAACGGACAAAGCACAUUGAGAUUGAUCUUCACUUCGUCCAAGAUCGUGUUGCUCUGGAUGAGGCUCGUGUUCUGCAUGUGCCAUCGAGUUCACAGUUUGCUGAUUUGUUCACCAAAGGUUUAUCGUCACAAGUUUUUCAUGAGUUCCGUGCCAGCCUAAACGUCCUACCUCACGGAGUUCCAGCUGAGGGGGGUUGUUAA
rnacentral:rRNA from 1 species